AUGAAUCUGACUGCAGUGAUAAAAACUUGGAAUCAGUCCAAAUUAUACUGCGACGAAACGAUCUAGUGUCUGCAGAAACGGACCAUACCAGUGGCUCCUGCAUUAUCUUGUUAAUCAUGAAUCACAUUCCAUAACUCAUCAGAUCACCAAGUCAUUCACUUCUAAAUCAUGCAGAGCAUGCGUAUCUGAAGGCGCAAGCGCAUCAUCUUCUACUGCAAAUCCUACCUAUGAUCUUCAAGAGAUUACACCGGAUCGUAUCCCAAUAGACAGCUUAAAAAAAAGGACGACAAAGCAAUUGUCACAGCUGUGAAGCCUCAUUAACAUUGCUCUCCACUCCGCUGGGGAGACUGCUAACUCUAAAUCUAGUUCUGGACUCACAGCCUCCAAGUAAUCUUCUGAUCUACAAGCACUCUUUGAUGGGAGGCGACAAGGCAGAUUGGUUUAGUUCUUUUGACAGUUGAUGGCAUGCCAAAACAUGAGGCGGUGGAACAAAAUGGGAUUGCAGGAAAAAUGAGUUGCUGAUGUCAAGUCCUUAUGACAGACAACUUUUCUUUGAUCACCAGGGCACCUCAUCCAAGUGUACAGGUGUGCAUUUUGUCGCCAUUCAGAGCACAUUCAAAUGGAAUCGAGUUUUUACCCAGCAUGCAACAUUUUUUCCGACUGAUCACUAGGGGCACUCACUGAGUGCACAAUUGUGCAACUUAGUGCCAUUUCAAGCCCAGUCAAAAAGAAAUCAAGUUUUUGCCUUGCAUGCUCGAGGUGAGGGAACUCAUGAAAAGGUACCAGUGCAUUAGUAAGGGAACUCAUGAAAAGGUACCAGUGCAUUAGUAAGCAUACUUAGUGAGACAUCUUUGCAAAGAAGUGUUCUAUUUGCAAGCAAUUUUUAGAUUGAGAGAGAUU
rnacentral:lncRNA from 1 species